rnacentral:rRNA from 1 species
UGGGGAAUUUUCCGCAAUGGGCGAAAGCCUGACGGAGCAAUACCGCGUGAGGGACGAAGGCCUGUGGGUUGUAAACCUCUUUUGUUAGGGAAGAUAAUGACGGUACCUAACGAAUAAGCAUCGGCUAACUCCGUGCCAGCAGCCGCGGUAAGACGGAGGAUGCAAGCGUUAUCCGGAAUUAUUGGGCGUAAAGCGUACGUAGGCUGUUUCAUAAGUCUGUUGUCAAAGCCCGAGGCUCAACCUUGGAUCGGCAAUGGAAACUGUGAGACUAGAGAGAGAUAGGGGCAGGAGGAAUUCCAGGUGUAGCGGUGAAAUGCGUAGAUAUCUGGAAGAACACCAGUGGCGAAAGCGUCCUGCUGGAUCUCAACUGACGCUGAAGUACGAAAGCUAGGGGAGCGAAUGGGAUUAGAUACCCCAGUAGUCCUAGCCGUAAACGAUGGACACUAGGUGUUGGCGG